UAAGAAAGAGUUAGGGUUCCGGUGUCGUUUCUGAUAUAAAUUCAUGUCUUGUUCUUGCCUUUGUGGUAGUGUACUAUGCUAUAUAGUGGUAGGGAAAUACAGAUUCAAGGACAACUUGACCUGUAUACCUUCAUUAGAAUUGGUUUUAGCCUUUGAUACAAUUUCUUGUCUCGAAGAUGAGGAAUUUGAAGACCAGGGUUUAAAUUUCAUAAGUGGGGUGUAGAUAUUGGUGUUUUAAGUUAUGUUUUUGGGUGAAGUAGCUUCCAAGGACGAAAUCUGAUGAUAAGAGAUUGUGCGUUUCAGAAGAAGGGUCGAGUUCAAAUGCUUGAAUAAAAGAAUAUUUGGGCAAGUAUUGGUAUAACAAGACUUGAGAAAUCAGUUUGGUUUGGUAUAUCAGUAACGUCAGAGGUCAAAAGAAAGGGAAGUGUUGGUGAGCAGCAGAGUGGCAUUAGAUGGGAUUGAUAAUUUGGAUCGGUGUAUCAACGAUGGCUGAGAUCUAGAUAAGAAAAGUGGUGGAUGAUUUGAAGUUUAAGUUAAGAAGGGAAUGGGAAUUAUAAGUGGAUCAAGGUGAAUUAGUAUUUAGAAAGGUUUUAGAACAAAUGGCAAAAGGGUGGUUACCGUAUAAAGAGGGUAUCGAGAAUGAUCAGAGANUCUGGGUUGGUUGAGAUGUUUAGAGUUAUGGAGCAGCAUGUGGUGAUAAAGUCAAUUUUCUUUGGGUGUGGUUUUAUGGUGAUGAUUCGUAUUCGGCUGAGUUAAUCAAGAGAGAAAAGAUCUUGAACACUAGGUUACAGAAGGCAGUGAGUUUGUAAGUUCGGAUAAGGUCAGAGGGUUGAUUUCACGAGUAAGGUAUUUUGCAGUUUAGAGGAUUAAAGGUAGGGUUUGUAUUUCUGAAGAUUUUGAGUUGAAGAGGGCAAUUCUUGAGAAGAAGGUUUUAAACCUUUAUGGUCGAGAUGAGUGCAUGAAGAAUUCUUAGCGAUGAGGCGUUUGUGGAGUUAAUCUAGGGCUCAGGUUUGAAGUUAUAUGAAGUGGUUUCUUGGCAGGGAAGGAUAGCGAAGUUGGUGCAUCAAGGGUGGUUGAGAAAAUGUGGGAGCAAGUGUUAUGGGAAUCCAAGACGUCUGAUAAACGCUAGUGAAGAAUAGUUGAUGUUGUUCUUACAUAAAUUUGAGGUGUGAUCAUCAAGGGAGGUUUGUUGUUUUCAAAUCAUUUCUGGGGUCGUGGCCUUCAAAAGAAGUGUUGUGUUUUAAGAAGGGGAACCAAUGGCUAUGCAGCAGAAGCGAACCAAGUUAAAAUGUGAAAACAAGGGGUUGUGAAAGUUAGAAGAGUUUAACGAGGAUAAGUAGAGAAGAUGAAUCUUUAUGGUUUAAGGGUUUUGGUUGGUGUUCUGCAACAAGUAUGGAAUUUUAUAUCUUGGAAAAGUGGUGUUCUCUUUGGAGUGGUGUCUAAACAGAAUCACUGUCAGUAAUCUUUUGUUGAUGAUUCCUGUUGAAGUUGUGUAGUGAAAGAGGAAGAUGGAAAUUGGAUUAGAGCAUAGUGUUUGGAGUCAAUAUAAUCAUAGGGAGAACUACAAUGUUGAGGAAAUGGAAUGGCAGGGUUAUCAUGGGAGAAAAGAGUUAUUAGGGUUUUGCAGGGUUAUGGAAGUUUUAAAGAAAGUUUUCAAGGGUGAUCAUUUUGGAUUGCAGUUGGCAUAAAGGAAGUGUUCUUUAGUAAUCUAGUUUGCAAUGGAGUUUGAGGAUUAGAGUAGCGCAACGGAUGAUGGUGAGCACAUUAUUGUCAGUAAUAUGUGCGCAUGAAGAGCUUUCAUAAUCCUAGAUUGGUGGUUUGUAAGGGACGAGUUAUUUAAAUAGUAUUGGUGCUAGUAUACGAGAAUGAGUUGGGAGAGUUUGGUAAAAUUUUCAAGAGUCAAAAGUGAGUUGAGCAUGGAAGAAAUAGGUAUCAGGCAGAGAAAAUAAGUGUGGUUUCAAGCUAUAGGGUCAGCUUUCAAGUGAGGAAGUAUUAAUGGACUUGGAACAGGAAGAGUGGAUCGGUGGACGAAGGAGAUGACUCGAGCUAUGGUUUCGAGUUGUAGUGUUAAUCUUGAGAUAAGGAAGUGUUAACGGAUGGUUUGAAUUAAAGAGAAGAUUCAGGUUCUUGAUUUGAUAAGGAUUGAGUAAGAGUUGGUUGAAGGAUAUAAAGUUUGGGAUCUUUAGUGAAGUUGUAAAGUGAUUUCGUU
rnacentral:lncRNA from 1 species